UUUUUUUUUUUUUUUUUUUAAAUGCAUAAACCUUGACUCUUAAAGAUUCAUGGGCUUAUUUUGAAAAUGGAUCCAAGCUGCCAGAUGGACUGGAACCAUUUUGCCUUACUGGCAGAUGUAAUAGUUGUAAAACUUCAUUGUCAUCUUGGUAUUUUACAAUAUACAUGUUUUGGACUUGCCUAAAACUCUUAUAUUGGCACACAAAAUUAGAGUGAUGCUAUGAGAUUGAAUACUUCUGUAUUGAAGUGUUCUAUUCCAGGCAUUGUAAAAUCAAUGUCUUAAAUUCAGUUACUGAUAAUAGGGAUCUUAAAAGUAGACACUCCUAUUAGGCAUCAUUCAAAUGAGUAUUGCUGCUUAAGUACACAUGAGAAAAAUAUCCUAGCAUGCCAUUCAAGUAACUUUGCUGACAAGUAAGCCUUCUUGUGCCACUCUAUGAUGCUUCUCAGAAUCCAGAGAAAAGUGCUGUGAAACAGAGAAUAGAGACAAAGGCAUUUUUUGUAGUAUUUUUAAGGAAAAGGGAGGCAGAUGAAAACACUGAAGUAGAUGGUGAUCAUAUAUUGCUUUUUGCAUGAAAUUGAGCUAAAACUACACCUAAUUUGCAGGAAGUGUUGAUUUAAAUUAUAUAAUAGUUCUGGUAAAACAAAACAAAAAAAGACAAAAAAAAAAAAACCCCAAAAAACCCAGACCUAUAAGGAAGCAGCAGUAUUAAGCACAUCAUUCUGUGGUACAGCUGUAUAUCUGUGCUGGCUCUCAUCCAUAACUUACAGUAUAAAAACAAAACUGAACUCAGUGAGAAAUGCUUGGAGAUUAAAGUACUUAAAUAUUACUAGCAGUCUUUUAUAAGUUGUUCCUACAAGCUGUCACUAAUAGUUUCUAAAACAAGAAUGAAGUGCUGCAAUGCUUAGAACAUAGUGAAGCUUUUUUCUAGUUGGCUUCAGUUUCCAUGGAUUUAACCAUAUGAUUAAAUCUUAUUAACCUAGACAGCAGCCCAUAAGAAUGUGAGGCUGGAUACAGGCAGCUCAUGCAUUGCAAGGAAACGUUCCAGUUCUGAACUUAUCUUUCCUAACUAAACACUCAGUGCCUGAAUGAUUUUUAAAAAUGAAGUAACAAUACUGUGCGGUCUCUAACAUGUAUAUGAAAUACUGUAAAUCAGUGAUUAAAAACCCACAAAGGUUUGACUUGUUUUUCAGUGAAAACUUUUUAAUUGCAAAGAACUUGGAGUUGAGCAAAUAGCUAGCUGUUUUUCUGUGGCUCUUGGCUGUGUGCUAACCUUUAAGAUGCAAACUAGGUAGGAGGAGAGGGCUGACCGCUUCCUGCUGGGAGGAGCAGUGUGUGACUUUUUGAAUUAAAAUUAUAUUGGCUGCAUGUUACAUGCAGUCUUAUCUGUACUAUUGUUGAAAAAUGAUGCUGUAUCACACUACUAUAAUUAGUGUCUGCACUUCUAAAAAUGAUUCUGUAGUGGUUGACCCAGUCCUUCUGCUGGAUGAGGAGUGAGUGUUUUUGUCCUUGCUGCCUGUAUGGUUAAAUAUAACUGGUUUUAGUUCUGGUAAAUGUCAAUGGAAAAACUGCAGAUCCCUUGGAUAUAGUACCUAUAGUGGUUUAAGGUGUAUGUGCAUGGGUUUCUUCUAGGAGAAAUAGUCUUCUUUCAAGCUGUGCCUAAAAAAUGUUAGCUCUUGCAUUUUCUCUCAGCAUAAUAUGGUCAUUAGGAGGUUAGCAUUUGUGACACUGCAAAGAAUUACUACAGAAGAAUCUUCUUUGUGCCAAUUGAGUUCAGUUUUCACAAAGUAUUUUUGAAAUAUAUGUUUGAAGAUGAUUUGUGGGGUUUUUUUUAAUUAAGAGAACAAGUGGUUGGAAGUUAGUCUGAAAUAAAAGCAUCUCGAGCAGUUUGGGUCAGGCAUCACACAGGCACAUGGGUGUGGAAAGGGUUUUUCUGGCAUAAGCAAUAUUGAAUUCAGUACACAGCAGCUUCCCUAGGAAGGUAAACCAGGUUGUACUUGUAUAGUGGCUGUGAGCCAACUUUACCUGUCCUUUUGAGCUUCUUUUGGACUCACAGUCCAGUACUGAAGCUGGCAAUAGCUAAAAAGUGAAGGUCACUUAAAUGUCAAAGCUAUAAAUGGGGCUGAAAGGGCAGAUUUCUGUAAAACCAGUCAUCAGAGAGCUGUAUUCCAAUUCAAUGGAGCAUACAAUUGGGUGUAAUUUCAGCUGUGAGUUGCGUUUAAGAUGAGCAGCACUGUUUGCUUUCUAAAUUUUUUUUCAUUAAAGAUGACAGGUGUACUGAGAAUACGAAGAGGAAAUUUAUCUCCCUGCUUACUUUUACCUCUGCCAUUGAAGUGUUUGUGUAUGAACCUUAAAAAAUAUUACUGAACUCCAACCCCUCUUACAUUUUGAGUAACUUAGCAGUGCUUUGUUACUUCUGUAAAAACUAGGUUUGUAUUCCACUUGUUUCAGUUUGUUGCCACUCAAAAUGCUGCUUAUGCUGAAGCCUAUGCUGCUUUACACUCCUCUGCUUCUACUAAUUGUAUUUUCUAAAUGGCUCAAUACAGAAGAGUAGGAUUUGCAUUUGAGAAGGCUUCAUAAUUAACCCUAAAGCCAAAGGCAUUCUUCUCAGACACAUCCUUGCACAAUUAGUACUUGAAAAUAAUUUCAAGUUUCAAAACCUAAUGUGCUAGGACAUACUUCUUUUCCCUCAGGAAUCAUCUUAAAUGUUUAGCCCAUUUGUUUGUGUUUAUUUUCGUGAUUCAGGAGAGCAUGUGUGAGAUGUGGAAAAGGUUCUGCUAGCUUUUGAGGUCAGGGUUAUACCAAAGAACCUGAAAGUAAAAGCAGAAAUAAUGAUUUGGUGGUGGCUGUGGUUCUCAUGUUUUCCAUGUGACUUUGAAAACUCUCAAGACUUCCCUAAAAACAGCACAGGACCUCACUUUGGCUGCAACAUGGUUUCAUCCUUGUCAGCUGACAGCUUUUCUUGUGUGACUUCUCCUAGGUUGGAUCCUGGGUAUCCAUAGCUCUUUAUGUCAAUUGGAGCUGUAUAUCCAACCUUGGAAAAACUAGGCAAGAAAAGAUGCUGGCUGGUGAGGGACCCUCCAAGGUAAUAUAAGAAUGCUGUAAUGCGUGCAUGGUAAGAAGCUGAUAAGAUGGCAUUGUUCUUUUGCUUCAGGGUCCAGUUCUGCAAACACCAUGCAGCAGACUACUACAGUAACAAAGUGAGAAACCUUUGGUGCUGUAGUGUCUACUGAUCUUUGCAAAUUUGGUGCCAUUUUCAUAUAAAUUCUUCACAAUUAGCAAGAGUUGGCUUUUAUGUUGUAAAACUUUCAGGAUGACACUGUAUAACUGAUACUCUGUCAGAGAUAGAGUUGUGAUUUGUGUUGCAAUCUGUUCACUGUGUUAAAAAAAUCCAAAGCAACUAUUGCACUAGCUGUACUUUAAAAAAAGCAAUAAUGGGAGCAUCUUUUCUCUCCAGAGGUGCUGUCUGUCAUGAUCACUUCACUGUCAAAUGUGAAUUUGGUAAAACAUGUUGAAGAAAUUGUCCUAUGUGGUUUACUUGACACAUACAAGUUGAGAUUUUAUUGUCAGCCUGUGUACUAAUGAAUACAGCUGGACUAUUUACAUAACCACCCACAUCUUUAAAAGACAAUUUAUGGUGCUAAUAAUCUCAAAUAUUAUAAAGAGCUGGUAUUCUCUUAUUACACAUGAACACUAAGGAAAGCUGUUGUGACACCUUUGAAUAAAAUAAAAUUUCUCUACAUUUUAAGCCUGUUCCAAAUGCUUUUUAUGUAAAUACUAUGCUUUUCUAUUUCUGUUUUAUAUAAAAAUGGUAAAAAAUUGUAUUUUAAUGCAGGAAAAACAUUAGGAGUGUAUAUUGCUCUAAAUCACAUGUCCAAUUCUAAACUUUCAUACAUUUAGGAUAGCUAAUCUUCUGAAACUCAGUCUAAAAUCCAAGAAUUUCAAUAGGUAGGAUUAAGGGACAGGCUGGUAGUUUAAAUAAAAUAAUUCUCUGGCUUCAUCAUCACUGUUAAAGCCUUGGAGAUAGAGGGAGAGGAUGUGAAAUGGACAAAGCUGUGUUAGGAGGACACCGAUUAUGCAGUGUAGGUGUAUAUUUUGCUGAAACUUUAAAAAAACCCCAAACAAGUUGUGGUGGACAUGACCAUGUAGCUAUUUAAAGAGGUGAAGUGAAACAAGGUAAUUGUCAAGGCAGUUCACAGUAAGACAUUAUAAAAACAUGUGAAAGAGCCUUAAACUAGAUUGUUUAGGUUGUGAAAAAACAAAGUAAUUUUCUAGCUUUGUUUUGAAAGCGUCACAAGCAACUCUUUCUUAAGAUGAAAAACUGUCUCGUGCCUUCUGUUGCAGAAGUUAUUGUUGCCUUCCCCCCACCUUUGGUUGUGAUUUUAUUGCAUAAAAUGGACAGUGCACUUCAGAUCUUCCCAAGAAGCAUUUUUGGGCAGCAGUACCUACACUUUCUAUCCACAGAGAAUACCGAGCCUUUAGUUCUUAUUAAAGGCCCCUUACUUGUGAGCUUGCAGUUGUGAAAAGUAUCUGCCUGUGACAGGUAUGGCAAUCCUGCUGUAGUCAGCUCUUAGAUGAGCAUGAUGCCUUUAAUUCACCUGGACAUGUGAAGGUGUGGAGCGGGUGCCAUGCCCAGGUGCACUGGUGGCACCGCAGCACAUCUCUCUGCUCUGAAAUGGUUGUGCCCUAAGUGGUUACCUUCAUAUACUAGAAUAAACUAUCUUUAAUCACUUCUACCCAGCACUUUGGGAAGUAAAUGAGGUUCUCUAAGAUCUAUUUGAUGGAACUUCUAUAUCAGUGCAAAGAAUAGUCCAUGUUUAGAAUAACUUUAAUAAUGCAGAAACAAGUGCACCAUCUAGGAUAAAACCAGGGCUGGGUGGGGUUUUUGUUGUGUGAAGGUGGAUAGUCUAGUAACAAGAGUCUGGAUUGUCUUCCUACUUGUCUCUGUGCCUGCUUUUAUAGUAGGACCCUUGGAAAAGCCAAAGAUUGAACAAAGUAAUCUGUAAUAGUCCUAAGCCACAUUGAAAUAUCAUUUUCCUGCUUUAAUUACUAGAUGCUUCAGAGAAAAUGGACUGUAUUUUUUUAAUUUACAAAAAAAGUGCAAUACUUAACUAUUAAGAGGCAAAUGCCUGCAUGUUCAAUGCCCUGCAAAAACACAACAUUUAUGAGCAUGUGACAUGCACUUGGCCAAAACUGAGUUUUUUUAGCUUUAGGCUUUACAGAAACAUGUUUCAGUGCACUAGUGCAACUCAGAACUUUCAAGUAUUUUCAAUGUGGUUUUGACAAGGAGAGUGUUUCUUAUGAAUAAAGUGCCUGUGGAAGUAAAAAUCCAAAAGUUGCCUGCAAGCUCAAAUGAAGCAUAUAAAACUACAGCCCAUACUUGAAGAGAAUGGGUGCUAAGUAAGCAGAUGUGUAGAACAGCUGGUCAACAGUCCUAAGCAUUGACAAGAUUCAAAGAUUAAGUUUGAGCAAAGAAUAUUAUGUUGCUUUUGAGAGUUUACUGUGUUAAACUUCCACUGCUUCUGCUUGGGCUUUAACUCUGUAACUUGGUUAUCUUUAAAGAAAAAUUAGUUCCUUUGAACUAUUCUAUUUUUAAUGUUUUGUGGUUUUUUUUUUUUUUCUUGGUAGUCUUUCCUCUGGUGGGGAUUUUUGUUUGCUUGUUGCAUGGAGCUAUUUUUUGACCCGUUAAAAGUGGAGUCACCAUAUGCUUUUGAUUCCUCAGGGGUAAAAGAGUUUGAAGAACGGUUUUUCCUUAAGUGCAGAAUUAAAGGAGGUGUGGUUUUUAUUACACUGAUGCUGGGACUGAAUAGGAAGGAUUUACAAGGAAAGUACUGUAGUGCUAAAGCUUGUAUAUGUAGUUAUUAGGGGUAUGCAGAAUAUUAGUCAAGUACUUGAUAUGUUUUGCUGUUAAUUUCAUAUUUUAAAAAGAGGCUAUUUUGGUUCUAAUUUAAAUUGCAGAAACUGUUUUUAAUGUUGCAACAGCUGUUAUUUUAACUUGAAAUAUCCAUUUAUGUACUGAUAUGUUAGAGGAAAAGUUAUAUUUUAUCACUUAAAAUUUUGAAAUUAAUCACAUUUUCUAUCAAAAUUAAUGUGCAGUUUAAUAUCUGGACAGCCUAGAAUUGGCCAUAUGCCACUGAAACCAAACUUUCAGCUGCAACAUAGGGAAGGAAGGCAUUUUUUUAAUCUAGUUCAGCUUCUUGACUAGACUGUGAAGGAAGUGAGGCUAGAUUACUCUUGUACAAAGAAAACAGGCAAAACCAGUAAUGUGUUUCAGCUGUGCUGAAUACCUUAGCUUCUUAUUUUCACAAUAUACCACAAACUUUUCUGGAGACUUAGAUAGAAAAUAUCUUUAGUUCAGCUAAAUUUUCAUCUGUUUUUAUAUAUUUUUUCUAAUAGAUGCAUUUUAUUUGUAUACAUUGUAAUUAGCUGCUGAAUUUCUGCCAAAUAUGGACAAAAUAAAACCUGUAUUCUGUUCUGCCAGUCUAAGUCUGUUCUUAGUGUUUCUCUUUUCAAUCCAUGGCUGGUGAAAUGUCCACUUGUUUAGAUUAAAGAGACAGUUGCCUUAAUUGCUCAGACGAAAACUGACCUUGACCAUUUAAAGCUUUAUGUAUUUCUGAAAUUGCUGUAACUUCUGUAUAAUUCCAAUAAAACCUUUUUAAUACAGUUC
rnacentral:lncRNA from 1 species